UACGUAGGCGGAAAAUUAAGUCAGUAGUGAAAUCCUGCAGCUUAACUGUAGAACUGUUAUUGAUACUGGUUUUCUUGAAUAUAGUUGAGGUAGGCGGAAUGUGUAAUGUAGCGGUGAAAUGCUUAGAUAUUACACAGAACACCGAUUGCGAAGGCAGCUUACUAAGCUAUGAUUGACGCUGAGGUACGAAAGCGUGGGGAGCGAACCGGAUUAGAUACCCGAGUAGUCC
rnacentral:rRNA from 1 species